rnacentral:lncRNA from 1 species
AGAGAUGAAAAUAUACAUAUAAGGCUUAGAGGAUCCACUCCCCUGGGCAAUGUGGGAUAUCACAAUCCACCACCCUUAGGGGCCGGACGUCCUCGUCGGCACACUUUCGGCCAGGGAUUAGCUCUGAUACCAAAUUGUUACAUCCCGGCUUGGGCCCUCACCACAUCCUGAGCUCGACUCCACCGUAGCACAAUAUUGUUCGCUUUGGGCCCCGACCAUGCCCUCACGAUUUUGUUUUUGGGAACUCACACGAGAGCAUUCUCAGGAUAGGUCCAGGCACCCACCACAUG